GACGAAGGUGGCAACCGUUGUUCGGAAUCACUGGGCAUAAAGAGCACGUAGGCGGCUGGGUAAGUCGGGUGUGAAAUACCUCGGCCCAACCGAGGAAUUGCGCCCGAAACUGCUCGGCUUGAGGACAGGAGGGGAGCGUGGAAUUCCUGGUGGAGCGGUGAAAUGCGUUGAUAUCUGGAGGAACACCGGUGGCGAAGGCGGCAUCCUGGACCGGUAUUGACGCUGAGGCGCGAAAGCCAGGGGAGCAAACGGG
rnacentral:rRNA from 1 species